AGCGGCGGAUGGGUGAGUAACACGUGGGGAACCUGCCCCUAAGUCUGGGAUACCAUUUGGAAACAGGUGCUAAUACCGGAUAAUAAAGCAGAUCGCAUGAUCAGCUUUUGAAAGGCGGCGUAAGCUGUCGCUAAGGGAUGGCCCCGCGGUGCAUUAGCUAGUUGGUAAGGUAACGGCUUACCAAGGCGACGAUGCAUAGCCGAGUUGAGAGACUGACCGGCCACAUUGGGACUGAGACACGGCCCAAACUCCUACGGGAGGCAGCAGUAGGGAAUCUUCCACGAUGGACGCAAGUCUGAUGGAGCAACGCCGCGUGAGUGAAGAAGGUUUUCGGAUCGUAAAGCUCUGUUGUUGGUGAAGAAGGAUAGAGGUAGUAACUGGCCUUUAUUUGACGGUAAUCAACCAGAAAGUCACGGCUAACUACGUGCCAGCAGCCGCGGUAAUACGUAGGUGGCAAGCGUUGUCCGGAUUUAUUGGGCGUAAAGCGAGCGCAGGCGGAAAAAUAAGUCUAAUGUGAAAGCCCUCGGCUUAACCGAGGAACUGCAUCGGAAACUGUUUUUCUUGAGUGCAGAAGAGGAGAGUGGAACUCCAUGUGUAGCGGUGGAAUGCGUAGAUAUAUGGAAGAACACCACUGGCGAAGGCGGCUCUCUGGUCUGCAACUGACGCUGAGGCUCCAAAGCAUGGGUAGCGAACACGAUUAGAUACCCCUGGCAGUCCAUGCCGUAAACCACGACUGCUCCCUGU
rnacentral:rRNA from 1 species